UACGAGGGGGGCGAGCGUUGUUCGGAAUUACUGGGCGUAAAGGGCGCGUAGGCGGCCUGUUAAGUCGAACGUGAAAUCCCUGGGCUCAACCCAGGAACUGCGUCCGAUACUGGCAGGCUUGAAUUCGGGAGAGGGAUGCGGAAUUCCAGGUGUAGCGGUGAAAUGCGUAGAUAUCUGGAGGAACACCGGUGGCGAAGGCGGCAUCCUGGACCGAUAUUGACGCUGAGGCGCGAAAGCCAGGGGAGCAAACGGG
rnacentral:rRNA from 1 species